AGCGGAGGAAACAUGUGGUUUAAUUCGAUGAUACGCGAGGAACCUUACCCGGGCUUGAAUUGCAGAGGAAGGAUUUGGAGACAAUGACACCCUUCGGGGUCUCUGUGAAGGUGCUGCAUGGUUGUCGUCAGCUCGUGCCGUGAGGUGUCGGCUUAAGUGCCAUAACGAGCGCAACCCCUCUCCUUAGUUGCCAUCAGGUCAAGCUGGGCACUCUGGGGACACUGCCACCGUAAGGUGUGA
rnacentral:rRNA from 1 species